GUGUAAAUCAGCUCUUUCUAUGUAGUAUGAUAAUUGCUCUGAAAGAGCUUUGCCUAAAAUGCAAAGGGGAAGACCCAGAUUUUGAUAAAGAUGGCAGGGCAUGGAGGUCAGGGCAAAUGUUCCUGGAGAGGUGACACUUGAAUCCCAUCUAAAGGAGCAGUUGGAAUGAGGAGAAGGGAAACUGUGGGUAAAAGCAUGGAGGCCUGCUGUGACCUGCAGGUUGGGCUGGUGGACCAAAGGGUACCUGUGGUUCAUUACCUGUAAGAUAGGUGGAUGGACAGGUGAGCAGCAAGACCCAAGAGUUGAGGCAGUCUUCUGAAGAUGAUGGACUCGCAGUGGAAGCUUUGAGCAGACGAGCACUACUAGAUGUGUGCUCUAGAAAGACUUCUCUGGUAAAGAGUGAAAGUGGGGCAUAGGAAUAUAGUGUGAGAGGCUAUGGCAGCAACGCUGGGGAAAUGACACUGACUAAACUGAGGCAAUGGCUGUGGGAAUGAAGAGGGGAGUCCAGAAAUGCCUGGGAGAUGGGUUAGAUGACACAUAGUGAUCAAUUGUACAUAAGGUAAACAGGGAGGGACAUUCCUGGCUUGAGUGACCAGGUGGAUGGUAGCGUAGUUCACCACAGGAGGAAAUGCUGGGACAGGAGCAGCUUGGGCAAAGCUGAUACUGAGUUCAUGUUGAGCCCCAGAGGCCUAUGAGGAGCUAGCUGGUCAACAGGCAGUUGGAUACAAGGUCUCAAUAGAUUGGUCUAGGCCAGAGACAGAGAGCUGGGAGGUGAUAACAGAAGCCACAUUUGGGGUUGAAUAUGCUCCAAGAGUGGCAGAGCGGGAAGGGAGACAGGAAGGAACCAUGGAGGUUAUUCUGUGCAGGAGGAGGAAGAAAACUCAGUGAAGGAGACCAAGGGAAGCAUCCGGAGGACUAGGAGAGAAUAUGGAAAAAAUUGUCACACAGGUUCCCACAGAAGAAAAAUGGUUUCCAGAACGCGGAAGUGGUCCAUGACGCCAGAUGUUGCAGAUAGAGCAAAUAAGGGAGAACAUCCCAGGGCAGAAAGGAAAGCCUAAAGCUACAGCCUGUUCCUCCAGUUCUUAGAACGGCUGGUUACUGAGCUCUCAGGCCAGACAGUUGGAAACAUCUGGAAACUCCUUGGGGGAGAUCUGCCGUGUGGCCUCCGUUGAACUGUAGACUCCUGCAUAGCCUUCCAAAGUUCUUCAUUUGGUGAAUAUUAUGAGAAAUGACACGUAUGUCUUUCUCCCAAAUACAUAGCUUGAACCCAAAGUACAGUGAAAUCAGAACUGACCACAGAAUAAUUGGGGGAAGGGAGUUGUGACAUAAAGCUCUCAUCACUUUGUAAAAGUACUUGCUACUGAUUACAUUAAAAACUAGUCUUCUUGAGUAAAACA